ACACGUGAUCAAAGAAUUUUGAGGACCUCAGGUGCAAAUUUUUUACCAAAAAAACCCCAAACCCGAUGACUUUUGAUUCCAAAAUUUGGUAUAUUAUAGCUAUAAUUUCUGCAAUUGAACUGUUACCCAGAGUCUUUUGAACCUAAAUGUCAUUUCCCACAAGUUGAUUUGCAUACUGGGUCACAUUGGAGCCUCCAAUUGAUAGAUGAAAUUCAUUUUCUCGCGAGCGGACUUGGUGCAAAUAAUCCAGAAAUUGGCUCAAUUUGAUGGUUGAUUGGUGCAAUUGAUUUAUGACCCAGCAUAUUGCAAACCUGAAUUGAAGAUAUUAAGGGCGAAUUUGAUGAUUGGGACGGUGUAGAAACCUCAAUUGAAGGUGGACAAACCCAGCUGCCUUGCGUAUGAACUGUUCGACCUGUUCAUCCACUUUGCGCACAAAUUGGUGACAACCCAUGGCUGGAAUAGGUGCGUCAUGAAGAGAGGAUUCUAGGACGGGUGGUCCGCGAUCAUGGGAACCACCACCGUCGCCGAAAAACGAAUUAGUUUGCCGCGAGUUCAGUAUUUCCAAAAAAUGCUCUAUAUUUUGAUUUUCUUGGUUGUUUGUUGUUAAAUGAACAUGGAUAGAUGCGUCUAGAUGAGCUUGAGCGAUCUAUGUGGUGUGAUUAACAUG
rnacentral:lncRNA from 1 species